UACGAAGGGGGCUAGCGUUGCUCGGAAUCACUGGGCGUAAAGGGCGCGUAGGCGGCGUUUUAAGUCGGGGGUGAAAGCCUGUGGCUCAACCACAGAAUGGCCUUCGAUACUGGGACGCUUGAGUAUGGUAGAGGUUGGUGGAACUGCGAGUGUAGAGGUGAAAUUCGUAGAUAUUCGCAAGAACACCGGUGGCGAAGGCGGCCAACUGGACCAUUACUGACGCUGAGGCGCGAAAGUGUGGGGAGCAAACAGG
rnacentral:rRNA from 1 species